AUUGAACGCUGGCGGCAGGCCUAACACAUGCAAGUCGAACGAGUGGCGGACGGGUGAGUAAUGUCUGGGAAACUGCCUGAUGGAGGGGGAUAAAUAAUGGAAACGGAAGAUAAAACCGCAUACCAUCAGAUGUGGCCAGAAGGGAAUAGGUAGUGGGGGGGGGAACGGCUAACCAAGGCGACGAUCCCUAGCUGGUCGGCGAGGAUGACCAGCCACACUGGAACUGAGACACGGUCCCGACUCCUACGGGAGGCAGCAGUGGGGAAUAUUGCACAAUGGGCGCAAGCCUGAUGCAGCCAUGCCGCGUGUAUGAAGCAGUCCUUCGGUUUGUAAAGUACUUUCAGCGGGGAGGCGUUACCCGCAGAAUAAGCCCCGGCUAACUCCGUGCCAGCAGCCGCGGUAAUAC
rnacentral:rRNA from 1 species